rnacentral:tRNA from 1 species
AGGUGUGGAGAAAUUGGUAAACUCAGUGGACUCUAAAUCCACCGUCAUUGACUUGUGGGUUCAAAUCCCACCACCUGC